AGUCACAAUCGAGAGCCUCAUAUUCUUCUUUCUAUACGUGACAUCUCUUCCUUGUACUUAUAUACGUGACCACCCCGGAGCAAAUAAACCUUAUUUCGACGGUAACUUGAGAAAGACUUGUGAGAACAUCAGUAAUAGCCAUUUCCCCUCAGCCUGGUGUGAACUCCUAACCUACUGAUCUUCAUCCAACAGCUAACUCGAUGGCACUUUGGUUGCCACAAAGAAAUUUCUAUCUCAGAAUCUAAGCUACCUCAUCACAGU
rnacentral:lncRNA from 1 species